CCUACGAAGGAAAACACACAGCACAAUAAUGUGGACCCGGAGGACAUUAUGAUACAUGUACACAUGCAUAUAUGGGUGGACAAGAGACAGUGUUUUAGAGGCCCAAGUCCCCUAAAUGCAAAAAUUGUGCCAGUGCUAAAGAUGAAGAACAGGUUCCUCUGUCUGUCUUAGUUUACUAUUAGAACCCUGUUUUUAGUGCUUUUCUCCCCCUUCCUUGUCACCGGGUGGGGGGGGGGGAGGAUGAAAUAAUCUAGGGUUUCUUUCAGUCAUUGGAAUUGGGGAUGUAAUCAACUGUUGGGUACUUGUUUCUAGAGGGAUACUUUUUUUUUUUGGUUAAGAGAUAGGACCUUAGAGAUGAUCAGAGCCUGAUUUACUCACCUUACAGAUGAGAAAAAUGAGCCACAGACAACUGAAGCCACUUGUCCUAAGUCACAUAAAUGCUAAUGAGAAUAUAACACAGGCUCCUUCUGAACAGAAGAUAUCCAAGUUCUUGCUUUUAUUGACUUGGAUGAAUGCCUCAGUUGACAGAAACAUACAUGCACAUACCCGUGUGAUUUAGGUUUCCUUUUUCGAGAAGACUCUCUGUUGGUCUUAAUGACUCAUGGUGGAGACCCAAAAUUUCAGAUACAUUUCAGCCAGUUCACACACAAGAUAUAACAUACUAGAGAAAUGACAAAUUUCCCAACAAACGCACAGUGAUGACAUCAUGUGGCAACCAGGGCCAGGAAGAAUAAUCAAGAUGCAAUUAGGAAAGAUGCAUUUUGAUUCCUUACAGCUUGAUAGCUUUCCAUAUAAGUGUCCAAAACAGGGCUGCAAACACUGACUUUUCUGUUUCAACAAACAUGCUGAAAACAGUCACAUUUGCAUUUUUCCCAGACUUUUAAAAUAGCCAAGUCAAUUAUGAUCUGGACAAGCUAAGAACCACUUUAAUUUCACAUGCAAUCUUAGUCCAAAGCUCAUUUAUGCCACAGAUUGUACUCUGCUGGAGCAAAUUAAAAAGAUCUAAAAGAUAGUAGGAUAAAAACUGUAGUUAUAGUUUCCAAAAAUUCUUUUCCUAAAAAAGGAAGCUUAAAACUGUUCAUCUUAUUUGGAAAAAAAAUAUUAUUCUAAAUAUUGAAUAGUUAAACUGAAAUUUUUUUAGUAUAGAGCUUAAGGAAAGAGCUGCUUUUGAAUUUUAUUCUCCUUGUUUUCCUACUGUACUCCCAACCAUCUCUUUCUUACUCCAGUGGGGCACAUGUGACAUUUCAUAAUGGCUAGAAGUUGUAUGUACUCUUUGUGGGAAUAAUUGGCCUUUGUUUAUUGCUUGUCCCCAAACACUAGGAACGCUAUCAAAAGUCUUCUGUUUUAUUCUUCACUUUUAAAAUGGCUACAUUCUGUCUAAGUCCUUAAUGCUUGCCAUCUCAUUCAAAAGCCACAUUCCAAGAGAGCCCUGAUGCACAUAGAGAAGCAAAGUUUACAUCGCUGAAAACAACCAUGUUGAUUGUAGCAAAACCAGAAGCGCUCAACUGUUAGGACCAGACUGGAUGGUCGGCAGAGAAACCACUUCAAAAGGCUUUUACCAUAAAAGUCCUAGCAAGGAAGGGAGCGAGUGGUGGUCACGAGCCGUUUGAAACCCAGAAAGGGAUAGGAGUGUGUUUAUGGGAAGAUGAGAGAGCUGCAACCUUUGGAAGACGAGGGACACAUGCCCGUGUGCAAGUACAUUCCCAGCCCCACGCGUGUAUUUUCUGAGGUUCCUGGAGAAGGACAACAGACCGAAUGGUAAAAGGUUGUUCUGUAGACAGGAAGGCAUGAUAACCACAAGGCAUCUAUCCUGGUGUCGUGUGUCUGAAGGCCAUUAAAUAACAUUGUUACGUAUAAUAGUAUUAACAUCCCAGGCAGCACUCACUUCAAAUCUUCUUAAAAGUAGAUUGAACUGACUGAGAUUUGCUUAUUAGCAAUAAUGAAGGGCAGAGAGGAAAACCUUCAAUGACCAUCAUAUGGUCACACAUCUUAAUAAGCACAGUGGACAAAGAGACAGAUAAAAAUCUGUCCCCCAAUCCAACAGCCAUAUAAAAGACUGUAAGCCGCGUGCUUCGUCGUGGGGAGCUUCUAGAUACGAAAGGAGACCCCGCAAGCCUAAAAUAGCAGUUCUUCAUCCCUGUCAAAUGUCACUUGCCUGAUCCUCCUGAAGAAAUCUCUCAACAUCUUCAUAUGCUUUAGUGUAUUUGUGUUUGAUGACAAGUUCACACCAACGAUGUCGAACCUAAACAGGACAAAAUGGAGAAACUCUUAGGAAGCAAUGCACUUUUUGGCCAAGCAAGAUAAGUGUUUUUAGUAUUCAUGUUUUUCAAAAGGACUAGAAUGAGAUUCGUCACCCAAUGAGAAAUGAAUCACAUUUCUAUUUUACAAAAAAAAUAUGGAAAGAAGAAAAGUAAGUUAGUAAUACUUUCAGUCUGCUGUUUAUUACUUUAAAAUAUUACUGCAAAACAAAGUCAGAGCAAAGUGAUAAUUCCUCAACUGAACUGACUACCUUCUUUAAACACUGAGGACACUGAUGCAAAUUUGUUUUUCUUCAAACCUGAAACUGAUUUGUUAUUAUUCUGUAUCACAAUUUAAUCUGGUUCCACGUUACUGACUUUAAGAACAAACAAUGUCACAAAGAGGAAGUUAUACCAUACAUAUUCCCAAGCAAAGGCACAUUACAAUACUAUAAUUUCCCAUUGUUUUGUUUCUAAGGAGAAAGCAAAUAAAAGCAGAAAUAUUUAAGUAAAACAGCUCUCUUUAAAAAAGAAUACAGUUGUAAUGUACCAAAAGGAGCUAAAACUUACAUUUUAAAACUUUUUUCCCUCCCCAAAAGACAUUCUUCAGUUUUGCAAGGUUAGGUUUGCAAAAAGAAAAAUCUAAAAUCUAACUGACAAUACAGAAAAGCUUAUUUGCUGCGGAGCCGACUUCCUAAGGAUAAAAUGGGAAAGUAGUUUUGAGCAGUCAAAUAUAAAACAAAAGUUUAUUCCUUAUCAUCUGAUAGUAUUGCUGGUUAAACAGCUAAUCUGAACUGUGCAGGACCUAACUAGUGAUUCUAUUUACAUGUUUUGAGCUACUAGAAUUUAAAAAGAAAAAAAAAAUCUAGUGCUGUUGCUUUAAGUGUCAUUUCCCAGUGCAUCAAAGCUUCCUCAAUUAUAGUCAAUGAGCAGUCUAACGUUUUAUAUUCCAUUAUUGGUUCAACAUCAGUCCUAAAGGGAAGUAGUUAAGUGCAUUAAAAAACCUACUUACAUUACAGCCUGCUUUUACAGCCUUUGAGAGUGGGAGGCACUUUAUAAUAAUCAGCUUUUUGUGGUAACAGUGAAAUGUAAGCGGUUUCAAUAUUUUCUGGCAGUGCAACUCCAAAUUGUAUUAUUAUCCACUACCUUAGCAAGAUCUCUUCUUAAAGACAAAUGUAUGCACAAACAAUUAAAAAGGAAGGCAAGACGAUUUUUCAGAGUCUUCAUUUUCCUCUGGAUGUCCCAGCACAGUCCAUUUCUUAAACAAGGAUGCUAUAACAUGGGAAUUCUGUUGUUCUGCACACCAAUAAAGGAGGCAAAUACUUUGAAUUUUAAGGAAAGGGAUACUAUCCUCAGGAUCUACAUUGAUGGAGAAAUUUCAGAAGGUCAUGUGAAUAAACAGAGUCUCAUUAUAAUCACUUAACAAGGGAAGAAUGGUUUGGGGAAGCAAGGAAUGUGAGUGAGAUCUUUAUGUCUUUAACAAAUGGUCCCCUUCAAUAGAACUAAUGGAAAACAGCUCUGGCAUACAAAGAGAACAAAGAUCCAACUCCGAAAAUAGUUUGAAUACAACUUCCCAAUGAGCAGCCUGGACAAAAAGGUACAGCAGUAGGUCUAAUUCAAGGGUAGUGUGAACGUCCACCUACUCUACUCACCUCCUAUUCAAAAAUCAAGUACUAUCAGUGGGAAAAAAACCCCAAAACACCUCUUCCCACUGAUUGUCUACAUAACUACAUAGAGAUAUGUAGCAGACACAGAUCAACUAAAUAGAAAAAGCUUAAUGUCUAUUGAUGGACUGACUUGUUAUUUUGGCCUACAGCUAUUUGAAAAAGAGAAGAAAAGGAUCUACGUCUCUACUUGGCUUGAACACGAAAGGAAUGAAGGCUUUUUAUUCGCUCUCAUUGUCAUUAAGAUCUUGAGCCUCUUCCUCUGGAGUGGCAAGAUUCUAAGGUGCCAACCUUGGUGGUACAAAUGUGGCAUGUAUCUAUCCCACUGUUAAGAUCUUGUUCAAUGCCAUCUCACUUAGAGAAAGCUCUAGAAGCUCAUCUAGAAGGAUACAGAGAAGCUUUCUGUAGCAAAUUUGGAAUCAUUUCCUCUUCUCAGACUACAAAAAUGAUUUUGAUUGUGCUUAAUAAGAAGCUGAAUUUAUUUUUAGGAAUUCUGUGUAGCAUCUGGAAAAAAUAUACCCUCCUCCCUCUUAGAUCAGAACUAAGGAACAGGAAAGCUAAAAGGAACAACAGAAAAAUUAAAAACAAGAUCCCUUCACAGGGCUAGUAGUGUUAACUCUGGACAGGAUGUUUAAAAAUAAGUCACAAGGAUGAGAUAUGAACAGCCAAGUGCCUACUAGAUGUUUCCUGUUUAGAUACUUGGUAUUUUACUUUCACAAAUAUCUGAGGUGAAACCUUGGGGAAAAUCCAGCAAAAAUCUGGAUGGGUCAUUGUCCACCCACCUGAAAUUUGCAUUAUAAAUCAGAUGAUGAUAUACAAAAUGAUCAAGAAUGAAAUACUUGGCAAACCACAGCUGUCUCCCCCAGUUUCAUUGAUAAAAUUAGAGAUGUUUUCAUCUCAAAAAACAAACAAAACAACAACUUUAGUGAAGAUUAGUGUAUGUGGAAAAGGGAACAAACAUUUAUUAAGUGCCUGCUAUGUGUCAAACAUUUUGUAAAUAUUACCUCAUUUGAGGUAAUGUUUGACCUAGCAGAGAGGAAAAAAACAAAACCUGAACAACAAUGUGGUGGUAGUAGCAGGAGCAGCAACAAUCAACUAAACAAUAGAGUAAGAUACAGACCCACAGUGUCUGUUCUUGAAUUCCUCCUCCAUCUACUUGCAUUUUUUCAUCUCUGUAUUUCCCUGGUAACUAAUUCAAAACACAAAAUCCCUUUUAGAGCAAAGUUAACAUAACUCACUCCUUUUCUCAAGUUACAAAGUCAAUAAAAAGUUAAAUAUUGGGCUGUCACAUAAGGGAGGGCACCUAUUUAUUAAUCUACCCCAAAUGUAUCCUUUUUCUGUGCUUGUUCUUAUUUUCCAGGAUGAGAAUAGGCUCUCCUUUAGGAUAAGGAGUCUAUCUUCUCUUCCUUUAACGUUUCAUAACACAUAAGAGAGUGCUUUUCACAGAGUGGUUAUUAAAGUAAAUGAUCCCCCCUGUUCCUCUUAUGGAUUUUUCAAUUCUAAAGAGCUGGUGACCCACAAAAGCAGGUAAAGUACACAUGAAGAUGGCACUGCUCCCCUCCCCCAAAUGGUCUUCAGUAAUGUUGCUUUACCCCUCUCAUCUGUGAUGAGGGAAGUACCAUAAAAGCCAAACCUAAACACAGAGUAAUUAAUGGGACAGCUUCACUCUGUGCUGCUGGAAAAGUAACUUACUGCAUCAGAGCCUUCAGUUCCACCCAUAAUAUUCAGUGACUCCCCUAAGAGAGGCACAGGCACAUAGGAUGUGCCGCCUCCCCACCCCCGGGUAUUUAUAUGCCCUGCCUGUGACAGAAAAGUACAUGACAAGGAGGGGAAGUGAGAAUGCAAGUUUUUAUUUGUCCUUUGAAUUAUACCACCAUCAACUUAGAUGUCUACAAUAAAUGCUGCCCAGCUGGAGGGGAAAAGCCAUCAUCCUCACCCCCUUCCCAAUACAGUUUUCCCUUUCAAACACAACUACAUUAGAAAUUUGUUGAUUACGAAAUCUGGUAAACAUGUUAUGAAUUAAGAGGCAUUCUUAAAAAAAGAACCUACCAACAGAAUUUUUGAAGUUAUCCACUAAAUUUAUACUUGAACGUUUAAUGAGAAAAUAGGCACAAGAAUAAUAGGAAAGAAAGGGAGAUUUUAGGAGAAGAGAACAAAGUAGAACAAUGGAAGAAGAAUGAGAGAAAUGAGAAAAAAUAAUAGUGUUAGAGAAAAGGAGGCCAAGCAUCUGAGAGGUUUAGUUGACUUACUAACUUUCCUGCAGCUAAUUUGUGGGAGAAAAGAGAAAGCUACUACAGCCUCUCUUGAUGCUCAGCAUAGUAUGUUUUCUUCUAUCAUACAGUAAUUAUCUUAUAUUUAGGAUAAUACUGCCCAAGAUUAAGAUACUAUUUGAAAUCAGUCUACUUCUGGCAAUACUCAAAAUACACUUUAUUCUUUAGGAAUAUUAUGGGGGAACUUAAGGGAGGUGGCCAAUAUGGAAAACAUUCUGUAGAAAAGAUUUCAACACUUUUUAAGUGAUCACUGAAGUUACCAAGUCAUUUCUGAUCCUAUAUAUGUUGUAGAAAUACAACAUUUUGGACUUAUUACUUAAAUUAAAAAAAAUCAUGGCCUCUAAUUUUCUUAUGCAGUUAUUAUGACUGUUAGUAGCACUAGUUUGUUUCUAAGUCAAAUCUUGGCAUAAAACACUUAAGUUCAGUCUUGAAUGAUGGGGUGGGAUUGAACCUCUGUGUACUUAUUGUUCAGUCCAAGAAAAAUAAAUUUGCUUUUCAAAGCUUUCUAUUCAUAAAUUAUGGGAAUCUGUAAAGUGGAGUCAUUAGUACACAGGUGGUAUUUUUAAUAUAUAAAUUCUAUUUCCAUGGAUGGAAAUUUAUUUGAAUAAGAUUUUCCAGGUUGCUGAAUCAUUUAAGAACAAAGCAUUGGUGAUAAUGAGGGCACAAAUGCUCUGAUGGAAUAUUGGCUCAGCAUUGUGACCUAUUCUUACUGUUCCAAAUCCCAUUAAAAGUAAAUGGAAAAACAAACAAGACACAAUGGGGAACAGAAUCACUAUUCAACAAAAACUGGGAAAACGAGAUGGCUCUUUUUUAAACUAUAGUCUUCUCCCCCUUGAUGUUGCUACGCACUUGGUGACAAGGCACUCCUGCCUGUCGAGAAGGGAGUUGAAAGGAAAAUUCCUCCUGCACCCCACUGCUGUUUCAAUGAAGGACCAAGGAAAAAAUGGAGAGCAGGCUCUUGAGAGCUACUUCAAGUGUCAGGUGUACAGGAUGUGGAUUUCUGGGUUUAUGGCAUGGAACAGAUGAUGUACACCAGCUCCUGCUUAGGUCAUAUUUCAGGAAUCUGAAGAUUUCUUGGCUGGAGGAAGUAUAGGAAUGCUUAGGAAGAUCAUUCUGACAUGUGUGGAAGAUGGACUGGAAAAGGGAGAGACCCAAAGCUGACAAUCCAUUUGAAGGAUGGUGAGAGUUGACAACGACCUCAUGGUGGUAGCUCUCUCCACAGGAGCAGAGAGAGAAGGCAACUGAUGAGCAACAUACUGUGGAGGUAGCAUCAACACAAGCUUACAGCUUGGAUUAAGGAACAAGUUUGUACUUAGUUUAGACAGCAGUAUAAAAGUACAAAUGCAUUUACACUCUCCUGUUUUUUUCAAGUUGAGUCCAGAGCAUGCUUAUUAUUUAAGAAAUAAAAGAUUGUCUUGUCUAUACCUUACCUUUUCUUUCUCCAAAAUCUUUUCUUUUCUGUGAGUGUUAAAAAUAACCCUGAUAAUUUUCCAAAGUUCAUAGGGACAUUGUGCAGUAUAUAAUUCAUGCCCUGUUCUAUAGAUGAGAUGAGGAAGCUGAGCUUUAGGAAAGAAAAAUGACAUGUGCAAGAUAACAGAAUGUGAUAAAGCCUGGACUAGAACCCUCAUUUCUAGCCAAAACUUUUCCAUUACACAAUGUUAAUAACUCAAAUACUUUAAAUGAGCGCCACCCUUCAUUUUCUAUAAUCAACAAAAUUCAUUUCUUUAAAAGCAUUUUUUCAUGUUUUCUAAGCCUUUGGCUCUCCUUUGUCUUUCCCUUUGUCCAAUGUCUUUCCCUCUCUGUAGAUGGAAUCCAAAAAUGGCAAAAAUAAUAUAAAAAGUCAAAAUAAUGACCUAAUACCAAACAUGGAGAAAAAUUACUUUGUGAUUUUAUCUCCUGUCACAAUCCUGUUAAUGUAGAACAAUGUUAUGUUAAAUGGUUUUAAGUUUGUUUUUAAUUAGAGCAUUUGCACAUUCUUGCUUUCCUACAUAAUAAACUGAGUUUCUGGC